GCUGACGGGCACACCGGGCACCGCUGCCCUGCAUCCCGGUCCUGCUCCCCGCGCCGCCGGACAGCGGAGCCUCGGAAGCAGCCCGGGCUGCGGGGAAGGGGCGCAGCGGCGGCGCCCUCCGCCCGCCCGACGGCGCUUCCAGCCGAGUGCCAGCGGGGCUGGGCAGCGCCGCUGUGCCCCCCGCUCCUGCGCCCCACCGACCCGGGGCUUCGGCCGCUGCCCCGGCCUUUGCGGGCAUUUCCUAAGCUGUUACGGGCCCGCCGGUGCCGUCCGCAAGCGCCCGUCCGCCGGCAGCGGCUGGAGCUCGCAGGCCUGAGGGAAAAUGCAGCGUGAGGCGACCUGACCCGGCUGUCGAUCGGGGCAGCAGGCUCGGGUCCUGUCAGCUUUUCAGCUUGGAGCUUCAUCUUCUUCACUGGCAGCUGCGUAGGACAGUUAUUAGUCAGAAACAUGCCUUCAUAACCUUUUCCACCACAGGACCCACUGGCGCCCAAGUCAACAAGCCCUCCCUUGUGAAAACCAGCUUUACAGCUCUUUCUCAAGUCCUUUUUUCCUAAGUCUUUAGAAAUUAUUCUCCAAGGUCAUUUGCUGCUGCAAUAGGAAUAAAUUUAUAUACUGUAAGAUUCAAAAUAAAGAUGUUCUUUUGCUAUAGUGUCCAUAAAACAUUUGGUUGACUGGAAGUGUCACCCACAUCUGUCCCUCACACAGUACUGAGUCUUUUUCAUUCAUAGUUUUCUUAGGAAAUGCCUCAUAAUUAACUGAGGGAAACAUACCCCUUUUGAUAACAAAAUAAAGGUGGGCUUUGCUUUUCUUUUGUUCUUACUCUUCACUUGCUCUUUGCCAGUCAUAAAAUUACCCAGUUAUGCUUCUGAAUUUUAAUUAUUAACAAAAAUUGUAAUAAAGUAAUGAAGUAUAAACAAAUCCUAAAUCAUUUCACCAAUAGAGACUUAUCUUUUUUAGUUUUUAGCUUUUGUGUUAUCAAAGCCUUCCUUUCGUAUCCUUCUUAAGGAGGGCCUGUAAUAUUAGCCAGGACAGAACAAGCUCCAGCUUCCUGCCAGAAUCACCAAAAACAUGGAGAUUUACCUUCCAGUAUGUUCUGCUGUCUGCUAAGAUAGAUCAGUAAAAAAACACCAGUCUAGUCAUCUUACAAAGUUUAGCAAUUUUGGCAAGGGGUGCAUUGUUACAAUGAUUUUGCAUAGCCCAGUUUUCCAGAGUGCAUUACCGCAUGGACUCUUUUUUUUCAUGUCUGAUAAAGGCCUUGAUUGGUUAUAAAUCUGUAAACAGUGGACUUCAGAAAUCACACUGUAAAGUGUUUGGGGUUUGGUUUUUUUCCCAUUUUUUUCUGUCUUUACUGCUAGCUACUGACUUUGAACAGACUAUGCUGGUUUUGGCUAGGAUAGAGUUAAUUUUCUUCACAGUGGCUUAUAUGGGCUAUGUUCUGGAUUUGUGCUGGAAACAGUAUUGAUAACACAGGCAUGGUUUUGUUAUUGCUGAGCAGUGCUUACACGAGAGAAGGCCUUUUCUGCUGGUUAUACUGUCACACUGGUGAGAAGACCGAGGGUGGAUGGGAAUUCGGGAGGAGACACAGGCAGGGCAGGUGACCCCAACUGACCAAAGGGAUAUUCCAUACAAUAUGACACCAUGUUCAGUAUAUAAAGCGACAGGGACAGGAGAAAGGGGAGGAUGUUUGUUUGGAGUGAUGGCAUUCAUUUUCCCAAGCUACCAUUAAGUGUGAUGGAGCCUUGCUUUCCAGGAGAUGUCUGAACACCUUUCUGCCCAUGAGAAGCAGUGAAUUAAUUCCUUGUUUUGCUUUGCUUCUGUGAGCAGCUUUUGCUUUCCCUAUUAAACUGUCUUUAUCUCAACCCAUGAGUUUUCUAGCUUUUACCUUUCCAGUUCUUACCUUGAUUCACUGGUGGGGGAGCGAGCAAGCAGUUGUGUAUUACUUGGUUGGUGGCUGCAGUUAAACCACAACACAGAUCCAUGACGGUUGAAGUUCUGAUUCUGGUUACCACAUUCAACAUAUGUGGAGCUAGGUUCCCAUCUAUCUCUUCAUAAGACAUACUCUGUAGACAGGAAAAUUCUGUACUUCCACUCUUACAUCAUUUGAAGGAUUAAUGGAAUGGUUUGCUUGCUGUUUUUCAUAGGUCUGUGUAUAUGUUAUUUCUCUCCAAAAUACUUUACUUCAUUUGUUGCAGAUUCCUGUUGAGUAGCCUGAAGAUCCUUGAUGAAUUGGUGAAACAAUAUUGUAGAAAUAGCUUCAGUUUAAUGGAUAUUUGAAGAAAAGGUGUUCUGUAACUUUGAAAACUAUAUUCAGUACUUCAGUUUGAGUGAUGUAUCUUGAAAAAGAGUCACUUGUAGAAGAGGUUGUGCUUAAUACAAUACAGAAGCAUUAAUCUUAAAACAUAGUCUUAAAUCUGAAAAACAAACUGUGGAAUCAGUUCCUUUGAGGAACACACCUCUCUGAUACGUCAUGAAACUGGAAUGUAUUUAGUUCCGAGAAGUUACUAGUCUCAGUUAAAGAUACACCAUUUGGCUCCGGAUGUUCUGGCACAUAUCCUUGUGGCCAUCUGUUGUGCUGAAUCGUUUGCAAAAGUUUGAAAAGAGUUGGGAUUUGGUUUUGGUGGGGUUUACUUGUUUUGUUUUAAAAGCUCAAUACUCUAGUUCUGCAGGCUUAUGCUUGUGCCCGCAAUAUAUUUCAAUUGUAUGUGCUUAACAUGUGCUAGGAUUAGGAUGUCAAACUGAAGUACAGAGAAAUGUCUUGCUAAUUAGAUGAUUAUUCUUGGUAGCUUCUAAGAUCUAGGCUGGACAACUUACAAACAGCUGUGUGGCAACGUGAUGGUGAUACAUGAAAAAUCUGUCAAACUAAUGGUAUGUUUCAUUAUCUUUUUUAUUUAUUCUUUUUUUUUAUUCCAUAGAUGUUUAACAGAACAAUGAAUGCCCAUAUGCAGCUGAACUAUAUGUUUUUACAUUUUAUAAUGAACUUUUUAAUCCAUACCCUGUUUUAGUACUUUCUGUAUAAAUGCGGUGAUAAUAAAUUGAUUUUUAUCUCUUCAGAAGUCAAAGUAUCUGUUUUUUCUGAAAAGAUAUCUGACACCAUGAACUGUUGUCCACCUAAAUAUUACACAUCUCAAAGAAAAAAAAAAUAAACAGACAAAACAGACUCUCUACUAUGGGAAAAAAUCUGACAUUAAUUUUAAUAUUCCUGUCUUUAAGCUGGUUUUAAAUGUGUAGCACCAGGUUUUACAAUACUAAACAUUGUUUGGGCCAUUUUUUGUUUAACUGCUCUGUAGAGAUGAUUCCAACUGUAAUUUUUAAUGUGAAAAAUAUUAGCAAUUAAAUACACAUUUAAAAAUAAA